rnacentral:snRNA from 1 species
CUUCCCAAAUAAUAUAGUAGGAU